CGAAAGCCUGACGGAGCAAUACCGCGUGAGGGAGGAAGGCUCUUGGGUCGUAAACCUCUUUUCUCAGGGAAGAACACAAUGACGGUACCUGAGGAAUAAGCAUCGGCUAACUCCGUGCCAGCAGCCGCGGUAAUACGGAGGAUGCAAGCGUUAUCCGGAAUGAUUGGGCGUAAAGCGUCCGCAGGUGGCGAUGUAAGUCUGCUGUUAAAGAGUCUAGCUCAACUAGAUAAGAGCAGUGGAAACUACAUAGCUAGAGUACGUUCGGGGCAGAGGGAAUUCCUGGUGUAGCGGUGAAAUGCGUAGAGAUCAGGAACGAACACCAGUGGCGAAGGCGCUCUGCUAGGCCUUANCUGACACUGAGGGACGAAAGCUAGGGGAGCG
rnacentral:rRNA from 1 species